CAGCAGCCACGGUAAUACAGAGGGUGCGAGCGUUAAUCGGAUUUACUGGGCGUAAAGCGUGCGUAGGCGGCUUCUUAAGUCGGAUGUGAAAUCCCUGAGCUUAACUUAGGAAUUGCAUUCGAUACUGGGAAGCUAGAGUAUGGGAGAGGAUGGUAGAAUUCCAGGUGUAGCGGUGAAAUGCGUAGAGAUCUGGAGGAAUACCGAUGGCGAAUGCAGCCAUCUGGCCUAAUACUGACGCUGAGGUACGAAAGCAUGGGGAGCAAACAGGAUUAGAUACCCCCGUAGUCCCUGUCUCUUAUAC
rnacentral:rRNA from 1 species